UGUGUAUGCAGAGGAAAGAAGUACCCCUCAUCAGCCACUGCAGCCAGAGCUGUUACCCAAUGAGACGUGUGCAGUUAAUAACGGAGGCUGUGACAGCACGUGUCAUGAUGCCGUGACUGGAGUUCGCUGCAGCUGCCCGGUGGGAUUCACCUUACAGUCGGACCGCAAGACCUGCAAAGACAUUGACGAAUGCCGCAUGAACAACGCCGGGUGUGACCAUGUGUGCAGAAACACAGUUGGCAGCUUUGAAUGCAGCUGCAAGAAAGGAUACAAACUUCUGACCAAUGAGAGGACGUGCC